CCAACAGGGAUUGCCUCAGUAACGGCGAGUGAAGCGGCAACAGCUCAAAUUUGAAAUCUGGCUCACGCCCGAGUUGUAAUUUGUAGAGGAUGCUUCGGGCGCAGCGCCUUCCAAGUCCCCUGGAACGGGGCGCCACAGAGGGUGAGAGCCCCGUCUGGUCGGCCGCUAAGCCUGUGUGAAGCUCCUUCGACGAGUCGAGUAGUUUGGGAAUGCUGCUCUAAUUGGGAGGUAGACCCCUUCUAAAGCUAAAUACCGGCCAGAGACCGAUAGCGCACAAGUAGAGUGAUCGAAAGAUGAAAAGCACUUUGAAAAGAGGGUUAAACAGUACGUGAAAUUGUUGAAAGGGAAGCGCUUGUGACCAGACGUGCGCCGGGCGCUCAGCGGGCGUUUUCGCCCGUGCACUCGCCCCGGCGCAGGCCAGCGUCGGUCUGGCGGGGUGGAUAAAGGCGCUGGGAACGUGGCUCCCCCGGGAGUGUUAUAGCCCAGCGUGCAAUGCCCCCCGCUGGACCGAGGUUCGCGCCCUGCAAGGACGCUGGCGUAAUGGUCCCCAGCGGCCCGUCUUGAAACACGGACCAAGGAGUCGAGGUUUUGCGCGAGUGUUUGGGUGCUAAACCCGCACGCGUAAUGAAAGUGAACGCAGGUGGGAGCUUCGGCGCACCACCGACCGAUCCUGAUGUUCUCGGAUGGAUUUGAGUAGGAGCGUAGGGCCUCGGACCCGAAAGAUGGUGAACUAUACUUGGAUAGGGUGAAGCCAGAGGAAACUCUGGUGGAGGCUCGCAGCGGUUCUGACGUGCAAAUCGAUCGUCAAAUCUGAGUAUGGGGGCGAAAGACUAAUCGAACCAU
rnacentral:rRNA from 1 species